rnacentral:rRNA from 1 species
CCUACGGGUGGCAGCAGUGAGGAAUAUUGGACAAUGGGCGAGAGCCUGAACCAGCCAAGUCGCGUGAGGGAGUACUGACCUAUGGGUUGUAAACCUCUUUUGUCGGGGAGCAAAAGCCGGACGUGUCCGGCUGUGAGAGUACCCGAAGAAAAAGAAUCGGCUAACUCCGUGCCAGCAGCCGCGGUAAUACGGAGGAUGCGAGCGUUAUCCGGAUUUAUUGGGUUAAAAGGGUGCGCAGGCGGAUUUUUAAGUCAGCGGUAAAAUCGUGGGGCUCAACCCCAUCCAGCCGUUGAAACUGGGGAUCUAGAGUGUGCGAGAGGUAUGCGGAAUGCGUGGUGUAGCGGUGAAAUGCAUAGAUAUCACGCAGAACCCCGAUUGCGAAGGCAGCAUACCGGUGCACAACUGACGCUCAGGCACGAAAGCGUGGGUAUCGAACAGGAUUAGAUACCCUUGUAGUC